rnacentral:rRNA from 1 species
CACAUGCAAGUCGAGGGGCAGCAUGGUCUUAGCUUGCUAAGGCCGAUGGCGACCGGCGCACGGGUGAGUAACACGUAUCCAACCUGCCGUCUACUCUUGGACAGCCUUCUGAAAGGAAGAUUAAUACAAGAUGGCAUCAUGAGUCCGCAUGUUCACAUGAUUAAAGGUAUUCCGGUAGACGAUGGGGAUGCGUUCCAUUAGAUAGUAGGCGGGGUAACGGCCCACCUAGUCUUCGAUGGAUAGGGGUUCUGAGAGGAAGGUCCCCCACAUUGGAACUGAGACACGGUCCAAACUCCUACGGGAGGCAGCAGUGAGGAAUAUUGGUCAAUGGGCGARGGCCUGAACCAGCCAAGUAGCGUGAAGGAUGACUGCCCUAUGGGUUGUAAACUUCUUUUAUAAAGGAAUAAAGUCGGGUAUGUAUACCCGUUUGCAUGUACUUUAUGAAUAAGGAUCGGCUAACUCCGUGCCAGCAGCCGCGGUAAUACGGAGGAUCCGAGCGUUAUCCGGAUUUAUUGGGUUUAAAGGGAGCGUAGAUGGAUGUUUAAGUCAGUUGUGAAAGUUUGCGGCUCAACCGUAAAAUUGCAGUUGAUACUGGAUAUCUUGAGUGCAGUUGAGGCAGGCGGAAUUCGUGGUGUAGCGGUGAAAUGCUUAGA